UACAGGGGGGGCAAGCGUUGUUCGGAAUUACUGGGCGUAAAGGGCCAGUAGGCGGCCAACUAAGUCCGACGUGAAAUCCCCAGGCUUAACCUGGGAACUGCGUCGGAUACUGGAUGGCUUGAAUUCGGGAGAGGGAUGCAGAAUUCCAGGUGUAGCGGUGAAAUGCGUUGAUAUCCACAGGAACUCCGGUGGCGAAGGCGGCACGCUGGACCCGAUCUGACGCUGAGGCGCGAAAGCCGGGGGAGCAAACGGG
rnacentral:rRNA from 1 species